AUCCGUCGCCAGUUCCUUAAUCCUCAUCCAGCGUGGGAUUUUUUUGGUUGCCGACCCAGCCUGUCUUCCACCUCCGUCGCUCCCUGGUGGCCAUGGCGAGCUCCCCUGCGAUGCGCCUCCACGUCCCAGGCCAGCUCGGCCUCCUCCCUAGCACCGUCCCUUCUCCUCCCUGCUGCAGCUCGCCCAUCUCCCUGAACCCCUCCACCGCGCCCCUCUCCCUGGCUUCCGAGCUUCAACCAUGGUGUACGGCGAGAUGGGGCUCGGGUACAUGUACCACUGCAUCACCAUGGGGAGAUCACCAGGGCCUCCGGUGCCGUCGGUCUCUUCUACGGCGCACACCCUGUCUUCUUCCUCCAGACCCGUCACUCCACCGGCCGUGCUUGUCUGCAGUGCCCAUGGCCGGUCCGCGCUCGCGCCCACACGAAGCAUCAGGAGUUCAGGUGCGCCGAACGGGGGGAAGAAGCAGCCAACCACACUCGCUACUCACCAGUCAUCUUCCUCGCCUUGUCGCCGCUCGCCGUCGCUUGUCUUCAGCUUGAUCCCCGCUCGUCAUGGCUUGUCUUCAGCUCGUUCAUCUUCAUGCUCGGCCCUGACUCUACCAGCGCUCCCCUCGUCGAGCUCGUGGUCGUGCUUCUAUUCCUCGCUCCCUCUGUGUUCGAUGAAAUGUCGAGCUAGGAAUCAAUGACCUCGCCUCGUCCUCGCAAUUGUGGUUGGCUUGUGUCGUUGCCUGCCCCACCGUGGUGCUCACCAAAACACCUGAACCCGAGUUUCGUCGCCGUCCGUGCGAAUAUCAUGCUGGUUCGAUCUUGGUAAGCAAAGUAGUUAUUCAUGUUAUUUAAAUUGAUGAAUGGAUUGGUUGUA